GACUCUCAGUAAUGGAUAUCUCGGCUCUUGCAUCGAUGAAGAACGUAGUGAAAUGCGAUACUUGGUGUGAAUUGUAGAAUCUCGUGAACCAUUGAGUCUUUGAACGCAAGCAGACAUGCCCUCGACUAAGGAUAGAUAUAUAAAUGAUG